rnacentral:sRNA from 1 species
GCUGGGCACUGUGGAGCAUGCCUGUAAUCCCAGUGGCUUGGGAGGCUGAGACAGGAAAAUCACGAGUUCAAAGUCAGCCUCUGCAAUAGUGAGGUGCUAAGCACUCAGUAAGACCCUGUCUCUA